rnacentral:misc_RNA from 1 species
UUCAUGUUAAAAUUAUUUCUAGUUUGCACCAGAAAAAGGUUAGCCUCUUUGCCAAUAAUAAUUAGUUUUUUGUUUUUAACUGGAAUAAUAAAUUGCAUACAAGGCCACUGGGGCAGACUAUCUACUGUAUCUUCAAUACGGCAAUAAGCAAAUUCCUUGAAUAUGACAAUGAAUUAAGAUCACUGGAGUUCCAGAUUUCUGAAGCUCCUAAAGCAAGGAUGUUCAACCCCAAUAUAGCAUCAAUGCUGAACAAUAAGGUGAGGGUUUUCCAAAGAGACAAGGCAAUAGAGUUGUUAGCUGUGAAAAUGUAAUCCACCAGUCUGCUAUACAUUCAUCUUCCAAUUCCAAUUAACCUAAGCUGCCAGAGAUGAAAAACAGAAAAGGUUAUCAGAACUAUACUUCAUAAUUGAAGCAUCAGAGGAGCAGAGAAAAUAUAGCGACAGAACAGGAAGAGUACAAUAUUAUUUUGUGGCUGCUUCCAAUAAAAUCCCUGCAAGACAACAGGCAAGAUGUUGCAGGCUGCAAUAAUGUAUAUCAUCAAUGCAUGCAUCCCCAUCCAUUUCAACACCAAAGUCAUGCGCCUAUAUUCACACACAUCCACCUGUGUAAAGAAACACAUACUGUUUAUUACCUAAUGAGCAUGUCUUUCAAAACAAAAUGCUUUCAUUAUAGAGAGAGAUCAAACAUGUUGCAUCAAAUCUAAAUAUCCGUAUUAGUGUUAUAUAACAAUUAGAAAUUCGGCAACUUUUCAUUAUUAUAAUAAUUAAAAAGUAUGCUUCAAUUUGAGAUUGGAUAUAACCAGCAUGUAGAUUCCAGCAAAUAGAAUGCCAGCAGCACCGGCAGUGACACACAUGUAACUGAAUGUGUAAAGAGCUUUGUUGAUAUGCAUUCCUAAGAGGUCCAAGGCCAGGCCUAAGACAAUAAGACAAGUAGAUGGGAGCAUCCAAUGGAGGAUCCUAUCCCUGUGACUCUUAAAAUGGAUAAUAAUGUGCCCGUAGUGCAAACCAACCAAGCAGGUAACUAUGGCCAUUACUGAACUCAAGAGUCCUUCUGGAUCAAAGGGGGCUUGACACCAUGAAGGAGCAUUCGGAGGUAGAGGGCCAUAAUCUGGGGAAUUGAUACUGCAUGGCUUGGUUCGCGCAUAGAUUGGUUUUCUGUAUAGAUGUUGAAUUCCCAUUACCAUACGAUCAAUCAGUCCAACAGCAUUACAAGCGGGUCCUGUGUCUCCCCUUACUCCACAUUUUACUGAAAAUGUCUUUGGGGCAGAGGAAGAACCUCCAACUGGAAUCUGAUACUCCCAGUCCGGAACAUACAAGCCGUAUGUCAAGGAAAGGUAUAUGCUAAUAAGCACCGAAGCCACAACCCACUGCAAUCGAUAUUUCCUCAAUACACAUAAAUCCGUGCUAGCAUGAUGAUCACCUUUGAGCCAAAUCUCACACAGUGCUCCUACUAAAUAUGCUAUUGCUAUUCUCUGCAAGAUACCCAUCCAUCUCAUUUGUUCAACAUUUACUCCGUAAGUCAAAUCAUUUAGGCCAUGCAAAAAGCCACCUUGAAGAAGAAGGCCUAACAUUAGGAGCUUGAGAGCCCGAAGUAUGGCUUUUUUCGAUGCAACAGCUUUGCUGGACAGUUUCUUGUAUGUAAGUGCAAGCGAAACACCAACAAUGAAGAGAAAAAAUGGCAUGACCAAAUCGGCAAGUGUUAGACCAUCCCAUGGUGUAUGGUUAAUAGAAGGCAGAAUUCCACCAGCAUAGUCAACAAGUAUCAUUAGCGCAACAGUGAGUCCUCGAAAAACGUCGAGAGAAACAAGCCGCUGCUGCUGCUGGGAAUUGUCAGAAAGGAUUAAAGAUUUCUUUUCUUCCAUGGCUUUAUUAGCCGCGUCACUAACCUUUGGAGAACGGAGAGCCAAUUCAACAUCUUCAUCGUCCAUGUUGGUGCUCAAGGAAUUAUAAUUUUCAUAUACUUUGAUAGGCUGGUAAGUGGGCAUUGUUAUAUGUUUGCAGGAGAUAUCACACUCGUAAGUGGGCAUUGUUAUAUAUGUUUGCAGGAGAUAUCAUUCAUAUACAAGUACAGGUAGAUGGAGAAAGAAGAACUUCCCAAUGCUUCUAUGAAAAGGAGUCCGGAGAGAUACUUUCUUUUUCUCCUAUUGUUUUCCUUUUGAAAUUAGGAAAGCAACUCUACAGAGUCCAUAAUCUUUCAAGUCUCCUGUACACCUUUGGUUUCCAAUCCAUUAUAUACAUAUAUAUCGGAAUUUGGCAUCUAUUUGUGGGAAUAUGUGACUUUACUGCUUACAGCAGGAAAUAUGAAAAUACAUAAAGACUGAUGAGAUGAGAUGAGAUCAAUGGCUCAUUUGGCUGCCGUAUUGCUUCCUACAAUCCAAAAAUUCACAUAAUAACUUCACAACUGGCGUUCCCUCAAUCACUCCCUCCUUAGAUUGAGUCUCCUUU